rnacentral:sRNA from 1 species
GGCCAUUUUCUUUAUAGGUAGUGCCAUUAUUUCUGUUACAUUUCUGAAAGACAAUUUGAGAGCCUCAGACUUACUCGCAAAUGAAAGUUUGUUUUUCAUGAUGGAACAAAUGAAGAUUUGGGGACCAUGUGGAAACAAGCUGAACUAAUUUA